CUUCCAGGGCCGUGGAGAGCUUCCAGGAAGCGCAGUGGCUCUGCUCCAGGUCAACAAGCAGCUGAGAGAUUGUUCAUGACCCAUGGCCAGGCAGCCCAAAGACCAGACACCAACAGAGUCUCUGAGUGUGUGUGCAUCAAGCUGUGCAAGGAAUACCAACAGGCAAGAAAUCGUCCAAAGGACUGCAAGGAUAAAACCUUGCCCAUACCACAGUCCAUUGUCCAAACAUACAGCCAUAUUAAACAGCUGCUUGAGGACAGCCAGGCAAUUCAGGGCCAGACCAACUUGGUACUAGUUACCAUCAACACCACCACUGUUUCUUCCUGGUUGCAUGAAAGGCAAAAAAGAGCCGGCAGGGACU